rnacentral:rRNA from 1 species
AUAAUAAUUAGGUUUUUAAUUGAAAUCUAGAAUGAAUGAUUGGACGAGAUACAGGCUGUUUUAUAAUAAUUAAUUAAAACUUAAUUUUUUAGUCAAAAAGCUAAAAUUUUAUUAAAAGACGAGAAGACCCUAUAAAUCUUUAUAAUAAAUUUAUUUUAAUAAAUUAUUUUAUUUAAAUUAAUUGUUUUAAUAAUAAAUUAUUUUAUUGGGGUGAUACAAAAAUUUAAUUAACUUUUUUAUUAAAAUUUCUUAAAUUAAAGAUUUUUUAAAAUAUGAUCUACUAUUAGUAAUUCAGAGAAUAAGAUACUUUAGGGAUAACAGCGUAAUUUUAAUUUUAAGUUCUUAUUAAAAUUAAAGAUUGC